AGAGCAGGAGCAUAUGGACAGAGGAGAGGCAGAAGCCGGGCUCUGCAGGGCUGUGGAAGCUGGAGGAGUAGGUUGUCCCAGAGUCCCGUACCCCUGGGGAUCCAGGAAGCAUUUCAGAGCUUCCUGUGUGCAGCAUGGAUCUAAAGCUGGUGGAUGCAGGGGGGUGAACAAGACAACAUCUUCACUUCCUGCAUGCUGAUGGCAGAAGUGAGACAUCAGCGAAGAAACAUCACGAUCACCAAAUUACGAUGAACACCAUGGAGGAAACAAAGGACACUGUGACACCAAGGAAGGAAGGGAGGUUACUUUUCAUAGUGGCUGUAAAUAGAACUGAAGGCUGAAAAACAGCUGUUAAAAUGGCUUGUUUGUUUGAAGAUGAAUGAGAGUACACAAUAAAAGGAAAAAAAUUUGGACACAGACACACACAGAGGGAUGACCACGUGGAGAUGCAGGGAGAGGAUAGCAGCUACAGGCCAGGGCGAGAGGCCUCAGAGGAAACCAGUCCUGCUGACUCUUUGAACUCGGACUUCCAGCCUCCAGAACUCAUUUAGAGGCCACCAACAUUGAAUAACCACACUGGGGUAGACACAGCGGCGAAGAGAUUCCUGCUGUUCCCAUCACAGCAGCCUUGGAGAUGAGAAGACAGAUGGAUCUGACCAGAAGUCUGGAGAACUUCGAGAAAAAAGGAGGAGGACACAAAAGGAAAUAACAAAAAAGAUGCAUCCGGAGCAACUAUGAGGAUGGUAAAUUGGUGUCUAAUUCUGAAAAUCAUAAUUGGUAUAAAUGCUAUGUACUGUGGAAGGAGGGAUGAAGGGUAGAGGGAAUAAAAAAGAACAUGAAGUUAGAAUCCUUGGCAUGAAAGCCUGCCAUUUAUACAAGCAAACAAACAAGAUCAGGGACUAUCAACUGGCUGGCUGAAUUGGACCAAUAGGCAGGUUUAUUCAGCCCCACACUUCAAAAAUUAGGAGAUCUCCAAAUUAAAAUCUGGGAAUCUGACCUUUUGUAACAAAUCAGAGGAUUUGCAACACCAAGAGCAUCAUCACAGGCAACGACCAGCUUGGAUGGGCAGCGGCUGCCCCUGCAGGUGGGUCAGGUGCUCUUCCGUUGGACACAGUCUCCACCACUCCCUGUCGCUUGCUCCUUGCUCCCCAUCAGCAUAACUGUUUGGGCCUUAUAGCAUAUGCAUUUAUCACUCCCUACUAGGACGUCCACAACAUGAAAUGAGAGAACGAUUUGGUAAGUUCAACAAAAGGCAUAUUAUGCAGCCACCAUACAUUCUUUGUGGAAAGAGAAGUGGCAUAA
rnacentral:lncRNA from 1 species